rnacentral:rRNA from 1 species
AUUGAACGCUGGCGGCAUGCUUUACACAUGCAAGUCGAACGGUAACAGGCCUUCGGGUGCUGACGAGUGGCGAACGGGUGAGUAAUGCAUCGGAACGUGCCCAGAGGUGGGGGAUAACGCAGCGAAAGCUGUGCUAAUACCGCAUGUGAUCUGAGGAUGAAAGCGGGGGACCAGGCAGCAAUGUUUGGCCUCGCGCCUUUGGAGCGGCCGAUGUCAGAUUAGGUAGUUGGUGGGGUAAAGGCCUACCAAGCCGACGAUCUGUAGCUGGUCUGAGAGGACGACGAGCCACACUGGGACUGAGACACGGCCCAGACUCCUACGGGAGGCAGCAGUGGGGAAUUUUGGACAAUGGGCGCAAGCCUGAUCCAGCAAUGCCGCGUGCGGGAAGAAGGCCUUCGGGUUGUAAACCGCUUUUGUACGGAACGAAAAGGCUCUGGCUAAUACCUGGGGCUGAUGACGGUACCGUAAGAAUAAGCACCGGCUAACUACGUG